rnacentral:rRNA from 1 species
GAUGAACGCUGGCGGCGUGCCUAAUACAUGCAAGUCGAACGCUGGAGAUCUAGCUUGCUAGAUCGAAGGAGUGGCGAACGGGUGAGUAAUACAUAAGCAACCUACCCACGAAGACUGGGAUAAUCUCUGGAAACGGGGACUAAUACCGGAUAGGUAAUCGGAAGGCAUCUUCUGGUUAUUAAAGGUUAAAAACACUGGUGGAUGGGCUUAUGGCGCAUUAGUUAGUUGGUGAGGUAACGGCCCACCAAGACGAGGAUGCGUAGCCGGCCUGAGAGGGUGAACGGCCACAUUGGGACUGAGACACGGCCCAGACUCCUACGGGAGGCAGCAGUAGGGAAUUUUCGGCAAUGGGGGCAACCCUGACCGAGCAACGCCGCGUGAGUGAAGGCGGCCUUCGGGUUGUAAAGCUCUGUUGUAAGGGAAGAACGGUAGAUAGAGAAUAUCUAAGUGACGGUACCUUACCAGAAAGCCACGGCUAACUACGUG